rnacentral:rRNA from 1 species
CCUACGGGUGGCAGCAGUGAGGAAUAUUGCUCAAUGGGCGUAAGCCUGAACCAGCCAAGUCGCGUGAGGGAUGAAGGUUCUCUGGAUCGUAAACCUCUUUUAUAAGGGAAUAAAGUGCGGGACGUGUCCCGUUUUCUCUGUACCUUAUCAAUCAGGAUCGGCUAACUCCGUGCCAGCAGCCGCGGUAAUACGGAGGAUCCGAGCGUUAUCCGGAUUUAUUGGGUGUAAAGGGUACGUAGGCGGCGUUGUAAGUCAGCUGUGAAAGUCUGUGGCUCAACCAUAGAAUUGCCGUUGAAACUGGGAGGCUUGAGUAUGUUUGAGGCAGGCGGAAUGCGUGGUGUAGCGGUGAAAUGCGUAGAGAUAAGGCAGAACACCGAUGGCGAAGGCAGCCUGCGAAGCCAUGACUGACGCUGAUGCACGAAAGCGUGGGGAUCAAACAGGAUUAGAUACCCUGGUAGUC